rnacentral:tRNA from 1 species
GGCCUUUUCGUCUAAGGGUUAGGACGCGAGAUUUUCAUUCUCGAAAUCAGAGUUCGAAUCUCUGUUAGGCUAC